AAAAAAUGAUCAAACUUUUGGACCCAUAUUCUGGUGCACAGAAAAUAAGGUUGAUGCUGGCCAGAAAGUCCAAAGAAUUCGACAGCUAAAAGAAGCAAAUUUGAAAUUUAGUUCCAAGGAAGAGCCCACAAGGACUGUGACAUGAGACUAUGGUUCCAUGUGGUUGACUAAGUUUUCAUUUUCUCAGUCAUAAGUUGUGUGUAUGUUCCUGCUUUCUAGACUCAAGUCACCACACCGAAUUGAGUACAUUGCCAAUUUUCAAUCU
rnacentral:lncRNA from 1 species